GAUGAACGCUAGCGGCAGGCUUAAUACAUGCAAGUCGAGGGGCAGCAUGAUUGUAGCAAUACAAUUGAUGGCGACCGGCAAACGGGUGCGGAACACGUACACAACCUCCCAAUAAGUGGGGAAUAGCUCAGAGAAAUUUGGAUUAAUACCCCGUAACAUAACGAUGUGGCAUCACAUUGUUAUUAUAGAUUUUUCGCUUAUUGAUGGGUGUGCGGCUGAUUAGAUAGUUGGCGGGGUAACGGCCCACCAAGUCUACGAUCAGUAGCUGAUGUGAGAGCAUGAUCAGCCACACGGGCACUGAGACACGGGCCCGACUCCUACGGGAGGCAGCAGUAAGGAAUAUUGGACAAUGGGCGGAAGCUUGAUCCAGCCAUGCCGCGUGAAGGAUUAAGGUCCUCUGGAUUGUAAACUUCUUUUAUAUGGGACGAAAAAAGGGAAUUCUUUCUCACUUGACGGUACCAUAUGAAUAAGCACCGGCUAACUCCGUGCCAGCCGCCGCUGUAACAC
rnacentral:rRNA from 1 species